rnacentral:rRNA from 1 species
UACGGAGGGUGCAAGCGUUAUCCGGAUUCACUGGGUUUAAAGGGUGCGUAGGUGGGGCUGUAAGUCAGUGGUGAAAUCUCCAAGCUUAACUUGGAACUGCCGUUGAUACUAUAGCUCUUGAAUGUUGUGGAGGUGAGCGGAAUAUGUCAUGUAGCGGUGAAAUGCUUAGAUAUGACAUAGAACACCAAUUGCGAAGGCAGCUCACUACACAAAUAUUGACACUGAGGCACGAAAGCGUGGGGAUCAAACAGG